rfam:Schistosoma curassoni strain Dakar, Senegal genome assembly, scaffold: SCTD_scaffold0005370
AUCCGGCUGAUAAGUCCCAAAUAGAACGAAAUACGCGUCCUGGAU